rnacentral:rRNA from 1 species
CUAGUAACGGCGAGUGAAGCGGCAACAGCUCAAAUUUGAAAUCUGGCCCUCGGGUCCGAGUUGUAAUUUGUAGAGGAUGCUUUUGGCGCGGUGCCUUCCGAGUUCCCUGGAACGGGACGCCUUAGAGGGUGAGAGCCCCGUACGGUUGGACACCAAGCCUCUGUAAAGCUCCUUCGACGAGUCGAGUAGUUUGGGAAUGCUGCUCUAAAUGGGAGGUAAAUUUCUUCUAAAGCUAAAUAUUGGCCAGAGACCGAUAGCGCACAAGUAGAGUGAUCGAAAGAUGAAAAGCACUUUGAAAAGAGGGUUAAAUAGCACGUGAAAUUGUUGAAAGGGAAGCGUUUGCGACCAGACCUUUUCCUAGCGGAUCAUCCGGUGUUCUCACCGGUGCACUUCGCUAGGUUUAGGCCAGCAUCGGUUUCUAUAGGGGGAUAAAAGCUCUGGGAACGUAGCUCCUCCGGGAGUGUUAUAGCCCUCUGCAUAAUACCUUUAUAGGGACCGAGGACCGCG